rfam:Rattus norvegicus chromosome 6, whole genome shotgun sequence.
GGAGAUUUAGCUCAGUGGUAGAGCGCUUGCCUAGCAAGCGCAAGGCCCUGGGUUCGGUCCCCAGCUCCG